GUGGCGUAAAAUAUGAAAGACCCGUAAAAUAUGCAAGUGCGCAUGUGCAAAGGGAUCACAACAUCCGGCGUAAAAAGUGCAAGUUGCAUAUGUAAAUAUAUUAAUAAAUCUACGAAAAGAGAUGAUAAUUAACAUUCUUAUCAUUAUGUAAUGUCAGCCACGUAAGCCAUGCUGUUGAUUGCAUAGGUGUCACACGGAUUUAACGGUGUAAUAACUGAGAACAGACUUCACAAGGUCUAAGAAGGUCUAAUACAUGCCAACAGCAAAUCAAUUCCGUUGAUGUUCUCUCUACAUAUCAAUGGACAAAUAAAGCUCUCGAUAUUAAGUGAACAAAUAACACUGGAUUACUUAAUUCAAUUUUAUAACUGCACUACCAUGACCAUGAAUAAUUGUGCUAAGGUACAGCUGGCUUGGUUUGGACACAUCACCAGGCACAACUCUUUGUAAGGCUGUUUUCCAGGGUACGCUAGAGGAAGGUCGACGAUGAGGCCAUUUGUAGAAAAGAUGGAUGGAUAAUGUAAAAAAAUGGACAUGCCUUUCCAUGGAUGAAUUACUCAAAGCUGCACACAACAGACCCGACUGGAGGAGCAUUUCUGUAUCGUGGUCCCUCAUUUUCCCAAACAAGCUGAACCAGUUUGAGAAUUACUGGGAUAAAGAAAUAAUUUAAUCUAACAGUCAUGUAUUUGAAUUUUUGAACACGCCAAUCUAUAUUAUGUAUAUGUGCAGAAUCUUUACCUCUCAGACUAUGACAUUACCAAUUUAAAGUACUGGAAAUUUAGUUAAUUUUAAGUAAAAAUUACAUUUGUUUCAUAAGCAUGUAUUAUUUAUUUCAUUAUUUUUAACUCACCUGAGCACAAGGUGCAUAUGGCGUGCUUUUAGGAUCAGUAUUUGUCCCUUGUGCGUCAUCAACACUUUUAUCCAGGUUUUCGGAAGGAAAAAACUGGUUAUUAGAUUGGCGAAUGUCGGCGGGCUGGCGGGCGAAACAAGCUUGUCCGGGCCAUAGCUAUGUCGUUCAUUGUGAGAUUUUAAAAUCAUUUGGCAUAGAUGUUCACCAUCAUGUUACUGUGUGUCGGGCGCAAGAAUUACAUCGAUAUUUCCAAGGUCAAGGUCACAUUUGGAGUUCAAAGGUCAAAAAUGGCCAUAAAUGAGCUUGUCCAGGCCAUAACUAUGUCAUUCAUUGCGAGAUUUAAAAUUCAUUUGGCACUUUUGUUCAACAUUAUUGGACAUUGAACGGUGUGUCAUGCGAAAGAAAUACGUCAAUAUCUCCAAGGUCAAGGUCACACUUAGAGUUCAAAGGUAAAAGAUGGCCAUAAAUGAGCUUGUCCGUGCAUAACUAUGUUGUUCAUUGUGAGAUUUCAAAAUCAAUUGGCACAUAUGUUCAACAUCAUUGAACGGUGUGUCAUGCGAAAGAAUUGCAUUGGUAUCUUGAUAUUGUCCGGGCUAUAACUAUGUCAUUCAUUGUGAGAUUUUAAAACUACUUGGUACAUGUGUUCACAAACAUUGGACGAUGUGUCAUGCUAAAGAAUUACGUCAAUAUCUCCAUGGUCAAGGUCACACUUUGAGUUCAAAGAUGGCCAUAAAUGAUCUUAUUCGGGCCAUUACUGUCAUUCUUUGUCAGAUUUUAAAAUGAAAAUGCACAUUUAUUUUGUUCACAGUCAUUGGACGGCAUGUCAUGCAAAAGAAUUCAAGAGUUCAAAGGUCAAAAUGGCCACAUGAUAAUGGCGUAAUAAUUCUUAAGAAUCACAUAAAUUAGCUUCUCUUGUUUUGUGAAGACAACAUGCAAAAUAUUCUGUGUCAAUGCAUGUGGGGGUAUAAUUAUGUCACGUGUAUGACAAAGCCCUUGUUAUCCCCCGCCAUCGGCGGAGGGAUAUUGUUUUGGCGUUGUUCUUCUGUCCGUCCGUCCGUCUUUCCGUCCGUCCAGCGCCAUAUCUUGGAAGUGCUUUGGCGUAUUUCAUUGAAACUUGGUAUGAGUAUAUAUAUGGAUAAGAUAAUGAUGCACGCCAAAUGGCAUUGUACACCAUCUGUAAAUAACAGAGUUAUGUCCCUUUGUAUCUUGAAAAAAUGCUUAAUUGAGUGUCAAAUAUAACACUUGUCCAGAAGCAUAUUGGCGGGGGAUAUCAAUUCAACAAAUUUGUUUGUUAUAAAUAUAUUUUUGUAAAAACCUUGUUGUGACAAUUUUGUCCCUUGUUCCUUGUUAACACUAUAGGUAACAUUUAUUGCUUGAUUGCCAUGAAACAUGUUAAGAAAAUGUGUCCCAAUGAUAUCUUUGUUGGGUUUGAAACUGUGUCACACCAGGUCAAAACCUAGGUCACUAGAUAAAAAUAAACAAAAAAAUGGU